UUAACAAUGUUUACAACUUUUGACAACACACAAGAAAUCUACUUGCCAUUCAGUAAACGGCUCAGGGAAAAUCAUUAAUGCAAAAAAGCAGUUUCAGCAGUUUAAUCAAGUGCGUGAUGCAUAAAAUAAAACUGGAAGCCCUGGUAUGGCUGUGGUUUGACGAGCUUGACCGAAUACUGGGGACAAAAUCUGAUCUUGAGCCAGUGGAUGUUGUGGAGUCGCAUGAGACUGAUGCCAACUAACCUAACACGCCUGACCUGGCUUCUGACACGGAGGGAGUUGGAGAUUUAAGCAGUGCAUGCAUAAUACUGAGGACAGAAACAACUUUGCUGUUGCAGACUGAUUAAUCCUCGGGCCACUGAGACCAGAAGCAGUGAAGCGUGCACCCGAGAUGGGAGCCUGCCCAUUCCUGGAGCACAAGCCUGAAAAAGAAAAGUGAAAUCCUGCUGACUUGAUGAUGAAUUCCAUGCAUAAAUAAAUGCCAGUAAACAUGCUGGAGAAAAUGCAUGGAGUCAAAAAGAUACAGUUAGCACAAGGGGCUGCAGCAUUUGAAAAGAUACUUCAGGCAGGAGGCUGAGGAGCGAAGAUUUCAGUCUAUGAAAGCACAGCAACGGGCCACCAAGCAGGUGGUUCUGCAAAUAAUGGACACUUUGCAAGUGCUUUGCAUCCUGGCCAAGCCCAUUCCUCACCAUUUACCACGCUGGAACACAACACCACCAUCGGACCCACCCUUAGUUCCUGGUCCUUGCCACAGCUGCAUCAGCCAACACAUAAAAUGAUGUCCUGCAACCUUUCAUCCCUCCUCAUCAUCGUUCUCAAUCUCCACCCUCUCGAAAUAAACACCACAGCACAUCAUCCAUUCUACAUGUUAACAGUAGCCAUGAUUACCACAAGUUGGAGGUUGUUACACACUAGCACUUUAAUUAAGGAAAUGCUCUUGUUAGUUUACCUUUUAAUGUGCACAUUUACCUUAUUUGAACGCCUGCUUAGAAUUGUGUUUUUUGUUCAGUGUUAUCAAGAUUGUUUUGACAUGUUUUUCCAGAAAAGUUGUUAUUUCAGACAAACAGGACACAAGAAAGAUCAGUGGUGCCAGGUUUUAACAGGCAUCAGCAUAACAUGAAAGUCUAUAGGCCAUUCCUACACAGAGUCGUAAACUGAUUUUAACAAGGGAAGAGAGAUUUUCACAUGAUUGUAAGUGUCAACUAGACUGUACCUGCUUCUUUGUUCUACUGCUAACAAUAUAGUUACCCUGCCCCUUUUCUCUUAACUGUGCAUUCAGCCAUUAAAAGAGAAAACAAUUA